rnacentral:rRNA from 1 species
CCUACGGGAGGCAGCAGUGGGGAAUAUUGGGCAAUGGGCGCAAGCCUGACCCAGCAACGCCGCGUGAAGGAAGAAGGCUUUCGGGUUGUAAACUUCUUUUGUCAGGGACGAAGCAAGUGACGGUACCUGACGAAUAAGCCACGGCUAAAUACGUGCCAGCAGCCGCGGUAAUACGUAGGUGGCAAGCGCUAUCCGGAUGUACUGGGUGUAAAGGGCGUGGAGGCGGGGCUGGAAGUCAGAUGUGAAAACCACGGGCUCAACCUGGGGCCUGCAUUUGAAACUGUAGUUCUUGAGUCCUGGGGGGGCAGACGGAAUUCCUAGUGGAGCGGUGAAAUGCGUAGAUAUUAGGAGGAACACCAGUGGCGAAGGCGGUCUGCUGGACAGCAACUGACGCUGAGGCGCGAAAGCGUGGGGAGCAAACAGGAUUAGAUACCCGAGUAGUC